UACGGGGGAUGCGAGCGUUGUCCGGAAUCAUUGGGCGUAAAGAGUUCGUAGGUGGUUUGUUAAGUUUGGUGUUAAAAGCGGAGGCUCAACUUCCGUAUGGCAUCGGAUACUGGCAGACUUGAAUGCGGUAGGGGUAAAGGGAAUUCCUGGUGUAGCGGUGAAAUGCGUAGAUAUCAGGAGGAACAUCGGUGGCGUAAGCGCUUUACUGGGCCGUAACUGACACUGAGGAACGAAAGCCGGGGUAGCAAAU
rnacentral:rRNA from 1 species